rnacentral:tRNA from 7 species
GCCUCCUUAGCUCAGCGGCCAGAGCGCUCGCCUUGUAAGCGAGUGGUCGAGGGUUCGACUCCCUCAGGAGGCUCCA